UUUAUUUCGGUAAAUCCUUAGUGGCGAACGGGUGAGUAACGCGUGGGCAAUCUGCCCUUCAGAUGGGGACAACAUCCCGAAAGGGGUGCUAAUACCGAAUACGAUCGUUUUCCCGCAUGGGAUUGCGAUGAAAGAUGGCCUCUAUUUAUAAGCUAUCGCUGAAGGAUGAGCCUGCGUCUGAUUAGCUAGUUGGUGGGGUAACGGCCUACCAAGGCGAUGAUCAGUAGCCGGUCUGAGAGGAUGAACGGCCACAUUGGGACUGAGACACGGCCCAAACUCCUACGGGAGGCAGCAGUGGGGAAUAUUCCGCAAUGGACGAAAGUCUGACGGAGCAACGCCGCGUGAGUGAUGAAGGUUUUCGGACUGUAAAGCUCUGUUGUUUAGGACGAAAGUGCCUGUUACGAACAGUUACAGGUAUUGACGGUACUGAACGAGGAAGCCACGGCUAACUACGUGCCAGCAGCCGCGGUAAUACGUAGGUGGCAAGCGUUGUCCGGAAUUAUUGGGCGUAAAGAGCAUGUAGGCGGGAAUCUAAGUCUGUUGUGAAAAUGCGGGGCUCAACCCCGUAUUGCGAUGGAAACUGGGUUUCUUGAGUGCAGGAGAGGAAAGGGGAAUUCCCAGUGUAGCGGUGAAAUGCGUAGAUAUUGGGAGGAACACCAGUGGCGAAGGCGCCUUUCUGGACUGUGUCUGACGCUGAGAUGCGAAAGCCAGGGUAGCGAACGGGAUUAGAUACCCCGGUAGUCCUGGCCGUAAACGAUGGGUACUAGGUGUAGGGGGUAUCGACCCCCCCUGUGCCGGAG
rnacentral:rRNA from 1 species